rnacentral:rRNA from 1 species
CCUACGGGUGGCAGCAGUGGGGAAUAUUGGACAAUGGGGGGAACCCUGAUCCAGCGACGCCGCGUGAGUGAAGAAGUAUUUCGGUAUGUAAAGCUUUAUUAGCAGGGAAGAAAAUGACGGUACCUGACUAAGAAGCCCCGGCUAACUACGUGCCAGCAGCCGUGGCAAUACGUAGGGGGCAAGCGUUAUCCGGAUUUACUGGGUGUAAAGGGAGCGUAGACGGUGCAGCAAGUCUGAUGUGAAAGGUCGGGGCCCAACCCCGGGACUGCAUUGGAAACUGUUGAACUGGAGUACAGGAGAGGUAAGCGGAAUUCGCGGUGUAGCGGUGAAAUGCGUAGAUAUUGGGAGGAACACCAGUGGCGAAGGCGGCCAACUGGGCUUUAACUGACGCUGAGGCUCGAAAGUGUGGGGAGCGAACAGGAUUAGAUACCCUUGUAGUC